GGUUGCUGAACAAUUUAACUUCCCCUCCCAUUCCCACACUGACCACUCUGUCCUGGACCUCAUCCUCUAUCAGAGUAAGGCUAAAUGCAAAUUGGAGGAACAGUAUCUCAUA